UACGGAGGAUGCAGGCGUUAUCCGGAUUUAUUAGGUUUAAAGGGUGCGUAGGCGGGCUUAUAAGUCAGUGGUGAAAUGCUACAGCUUAACUGUAGAACUGCCAUUGAAACUGUAGGUCUUGAAUACAAUUGAGGUGGGCGGAAUGUGUAAUGUAGCGGUGAAAUGCUUAGAUAUUACACAGAACUCCAAUUGCGAAGGCAGCUCACUAAGUUGUUAUUGACGCUGAGGCACGAAAGCGUGGGGAGCAAACAGG
rnacentral:rRNA from 1 species